rnacentral:tRNA from 1 species
GGAGAGGUAGCCUAGUCCGGUUUAAGGCAGCGGUUUGCUAAACCGCCGUACUGGUUAAAGCCGGUACCGAGAGUUCAAAUCUCUCCCUCUCCGCCA